rnacentral:tRNA from 1 species
UGUUUUCUACUUCUCAGCGUAAGUGAGAUACUUAAAAGCUUUUUUUCUCCCUUAGUUCACU